UACAGAGGUGGCAAGCGUUGUUCGGAAUUACUGGGCGUAAAGGGCGCGUAGGUGGCCUUCUUAGUCAGACGUGAAAUCCCCAGGCUUAACCUGGGAAUUGCGUCUGAUACUGGAAGGCUCGAGUUCGGGAGAGGAAUGUGGAAUUCCAGGUGUAGCGGUGAAAUGCGUAGAUAUCUGGAGGAACACCGGUGGCGAAGGCGGCAUUCUGGACCGAAACUGACGCUGAGGCGCGAAAGCCAGGGGAGCAAACGGG
rnacentral:rRNA from 1 species